rnacentral:lncRNA from 1 species
ACAUUGAGUGGUCACAGGAGUCCAAUCAUUCGAGUCAUUUUCCAUCCUGUGUUCAGUGUUAUGGUCUCUGCUUCAGAGGAUGCUACAGUUAAGGUGUGGGAUUAUGAGACUGGAGAUUUUGAAAGAACUCUUAAAGGAAGGACAUAGAGACUCUGUACAGGACAUUUCAUUUGACCACAGUGGCAAGUUUCUGGCUUCCUGUUCUGCAGCUAUGACCAUUAAACCAUGGGAUUUUCAGGACUUUGAAUGCAUCAGAACCAUGCAUAGUCAUGGUUCCCCAUGACCAUAAUGUUUCCUCAGUAGUCAUCAUGGCCAGUGGAGAUCAUAUAGUGUCCGCCUCAAGGGAUAAAACUAUAAAAAUGUGGGAAGUGCAAACUGGCUACUGUGUGAAGAUGUUCACAGGACAGAGAGAAUGGGUACAUAUUGUACAACCAAAUCAAGAUGGCACUCUGAUAGCCAGCUGUUCCAAUGACCAGACUGUGCGUGUAUGGGUUGUAGCAACAAUGCAAUGCAAGGGUGAGCUCCGAGAACAUGAGCAUGUGGUAGAAUGCAUUUCCUGGGCUCCAGAAAGCUCAUAUUCCUCCAUCUCUGAAGCAACAGGCUCUGAGACUAAAAAAUAGUGGUAAAUCUGGGCCAUUCUUGCUGUCUGGAUCCAGGGACAAGACUAUUAAGAUGUGGGAUGUCAGUACCGGCAUGUGCCUCAUGACCCUCGUGGGUCAUGGUAACUGGGUACGUGAAGUUCUGUUCAGUUCUGGGGGGAAAUUUAUUUUGAGUUGUGCUGAUGACAAGACCCUACACGUAUGGGAUUACAAGAACAGGCAAUGCAUGAAGACCCUCAAUGCGUAUGAACACUUUGUUACCUCAUUGGAUUUCCACAAGACAGCACCCUAUGUGGUCACUGGCAGCGUGGCUCAAACAGUAAAAGUGUGGGAGUGCC